rnacentral:lncRNA from 1 species
UCAGCACAGCAAAGGGAUCAAUCAACAAAAUGAAAAGGCAGCCUACUGACAAGGAAAAAACAUUUGGUAAUCACAUACCUAAACAAGGGUUAAUUUAUACAAAACUUAUAAAUACUCAUACAAUUCAACAGUUGAAAAACAAGUACCCAAUUUAAAAAACAGGCAAAGAACCUGAACAGACAUUUCUCUAAAAAGGACAGAAAAAUGCCCAACAGGUAUAUGAAAAGGUGCUCAAUCUCACUAAUCAUCAGAAGCAAGCAACUUAAAAUCACUAUGAGAUACCACCUGGCAUCCAUCAGGAUGGUUAUUUUGAAAAAGACAGGAGGUAACAAAUGUUGGCGAGAGUGUAAAGGGAACCCUGGUACACACUGGGUGGGAAUGUGGAUUGGUAUAGCCCUUAUGGGAAGCGGUAUGGAGGUUCCUAAAUGAAUUACAAAAUUGCACUAGCAUAUGACCCAGCAGUCCAUGUUCUGUGUGCUCUGCUCACCCUCCUGAGCCCCUAAAUUGGCCCGGAAAUCAGGAUCAUGUGCCACAGGCUGAAGAAACAUGCUUUUCUGCAAGUGGGCGAUAGACCCAAAGAAGAUGAAAUCACCACCUCUUACAGCCUGCACUUCCCUGACCCUUGCAGCGUUACUCCCAGUGGGCACUUCCCUGACCCUUGCAGCGUUACUCCCAGUGGGCGCUUCCGUGACCGCCGCAGCGUUACUCCCAGUGGGCGCUUCCGUGACCGCCGCAGCGUUACUCCCAGUGGGCGCUUCCGUGACCGCCGCAGCGUUACUCCCAGUGGGCGCUUCCGUGACCGCCGCAGCGUUACUCCCAGUGGGCGCUUCCGUGACCGCCGCAGCGUUACUCCCAGUGGGCGCUUCCGUGACCGCCGCAGCGUUACUCCCAGUGGGCGCUUCCGUGACCGCCGCAGCGUUACUCCCAGUGGGCGCUUCCGUGACCGCCGCAGCGUUACUCCCCGUGGGCGCUUCCGUGACCGCCGCAGCGUUACUCCCAGUGGGCGCUUCCGUGACCGCCGCAGCGUUACUCCCAGUGGGCGCUUCCGUGACCGCCGCAGCGUUACUCCCAGUGGGCGCUUCCGUGACCGCCGCAGCGUUACUCCCAGUGGGCGCUUCCGUGACCGCCGCAGCGUUACUCCCAGUGGGCGCUUCC